ACUUAAAUUGAAGAGUUUGAUCAUGGCUCAGAUUGAACGCUGGCGGCAGGCCUAACACAUGCAAGUCGAGCGGUAGCACAGAGAGCUUGCUCUCGGGUGACGAGCGGCGGACGGGUGAGUAAUGUCUGGGAAACUGCCUGAUGGAGGGGGAUAACUACUGGAAACGGUAGCUAAUACCGCAUAACGUCGCAAGACCAAAGUGGGGGACC
rnacentral:rRNA from 1 species